rnacentral:rRNA from 1 species
GACGGAGGAUGCAAGCGUUAUCCGGAAUUAUUGGGCGUAAAGCGUACGUAGGUGGCAGUUCAAGUCUGCUGUGAAAGACCGGGGCUUAACUUCGGAAAGGCAGUGGAAACUGAACAGCUAGAGUAUGGUAGGGGCAGAGGGAAUUCCUGGUGUAGCGGUGAAAUGCGUAGAGAUCAGGGAGAACAUCAGUGGCGAAGGCGCUCUGCUGGACCAUAACUGACACUCAGGUACGAAAGCUAGGGGAGCGAAUGGG